rnacentral:rRNA from 1 species
CGGAUUGAUACUAAGCCAUGCGAGUCAUUGUAGCAAUACAAGGCAUACGGCUCAGUAACGCGUAGUCAACCUAACCUAUGGACGGGAAUAACCUCGGGAAACUGAGAAUAAUGCCCGAUAGAACAUUAUACCUGGAAUGGUUUAUGUUCCAAAUGAUUUAUCGCCGUAGGAUGGGACUGCGGCCUAUCAGUUUGUUGGUGAGGUAAUGGCCCACCAAGACUAUUACAGGUACGGGCUCUGAGAGGAGUAGCCCGGAGAUGGGUACUGAGACACGGACCCAGGCCCUAUGGGGCGCAGCAGGCGAGAAAACUUUGCAAUGUGCGAAAGCACGACAAGGUUAAUCCGAGUGAUUUCUGCUAAAGAAAUCUUUUGUUAGUCCUAGAAACACUAACGAAUAAGGGGUGGGCAAGUUCUGGUGUCAGCCGCCGCGGUAAAACCAGCACCUCAAGUGGUCAGGAUGAUUAUUGGGCCUAAAGCGUCCGUAGCCGGCUCUGUAAGUUUUCGGUUAAAUCUGUACGCUCAACGUACAGGCCGCCGGGAAUACUGCAAAGCUAGGGAGUGGGAGAAGUAGACGGUACUCGGUAGGAAGUGGUAAAAUGCUUUGAUCUAUCGAUGACCACCUGUGGCGAAGGCGGUCUACUAGAACACGUCCGACGGUGAGGGAUGAAAGCUGGGGGAGCAAACCGGAUUAGAUACCCGGGUAGUCCCAGCUGUAAACUAUGCAAACUCAGUGAUGCAUUGGCUUGUGGCCAAUGCAGUGCUGCAGGGAAGCCGUUAAGUUUGCCGCCUGGGAAGUACGUACGCAAGUAUGAAACUUAAAGGAAUUGGCGGGGGAGCACCACAAGGGGUGAAGCCUGCGGUUCAAUUGG